AGUAACGGCGAGUGAAGCGGCAAGAGCUCAAAUUUGAAAGCUGGCUCCUUCGGGGUCCGCAUUGUAAUUUGUAGAGGAUGCUUCGGGAGCGGUCCCCAUCUAAGUGCCCUGGAACGGGACGUCAUAGAGGGUGAGAAUCCCGUAUGGGAUGGGGUGUCCGCGCCCGUGUGAAGCUCCUUCGACGAGUCGAGUUGUUUGGGAAUGCAGCUCUAAAUGGGUGGUAAAUUUCAUCUAAAGCUAAAUAUUGGCCGGAGACCGAUAGCGCACAAGUAGAGUGAUCGAAAGAUGAAAAGCACUUUGAAAAGAGAGUUAAAAAGCACGUGAAAUUGUUGAAAGGGAAGCGCUUGCGACCAGACUCGCUCGCGGGGUUCAGCCGGCAUUCGUGCCGGUGUACUUCCCCGCGGGCGGGCCAGCGUCGGUUUGGGCGGUCGGUCAAAGGCCCUCGGAAGGUAACGCCCCUAGGGGCGUCUUAUAGCCGAGGGUGCAAUGCGACCUGCCUAGACCGAGGAACGCGCUUCGGCUCGGACGCUGGCAUAAUGGUCGUAAACGACCCGUCUUGAA
rnacentral:rRNA from 1 species